rnacentral:rRNA from 1 species
CAACACAUGGGUACCUGCCCCGAAGUGAGGGAUACCGGCGAGAAAUCGCCGACAAUCCCGCAUAGGCUCGGCAACGAGCAAAGCCUGGCGCAAGCGAGGCGCUUUGGGAUGGGCCUGUGGCCGAUUAGCUGGCUGGUGGGGUAAAGGCUCACCAGGGCCAUGAUCGGUAGCUGGUCUGAGAGGACGAGCAGCCACACUGGGAUUGAGAACGGCCCAG